CAUAUCAAUAAGCGGAGGAAAAGAAACCAACAGGGAUUGCCCUAGUAACGGCGAGUGAAGCGGCAACAGCUCAAAUUUGAAAUCUGGCGUCUUUGGCGUCCGAGUUGUAAUUUGCAGAGGGCGCUUUGGCAUUGGCAGCGGUCCAAGUUCCUUGGAACAGGACGUCACAGAGGGUGAGAAUCCCGUACGUGGUCGCUAGCCUUUACCGUGUAAAGCCCCUUCGACGAGUCGAGUUGUUUGGGAAUGCAGCUCUAAAUGGGAGGUAAAUUUCUUCUAAAGCUAAAUACUGGCCAGAGACCGAUAGCGCACAAGUAGAGUGAUCGAAAGAUGAAAAGCACUUUGGAAAGAGAGUUAAAAAGCACGUGAAAUUGUUGAAAGGGAAGCGCUUGCAGCCAGACUUGCCUGUAGUUGCUCAUCCGGGUUUCUACCCGGUGCACUCUUCUAUAGGCAGGCCAGCAUCAGUUUGGGCGGUUGGAUAAAGGUCUCUGUCAUGUACCUCUCUUCGGGGAGAACUUAUAGGGGAGACGACAUGCAACCAGCCUGGACUGAGGUCCGCGCAUCUGCUAGGAUGCUGGCGUAAUGGCUGUAAGCGGCCCGUCUUGAAACACGGACCAAGGAGUCUAACAUCUAUGCGAGUGUUUGGGUGUCAAGCCCGAACGCGUAAUGAAAGUGAACGGAGGUGGGAACCUUUCGGGGUGCACCAUCGACCGAUCCUGAUGUCUUCGGAUGGAUUUGAGUAAGAGCAUAGCUGUUGGGACCCGAAAGAUGGUGAACUAUGCUUGAAUAGGGUGAAGCCAGAGGAAACUCUGGUGGAGGCUCGCAGCGGUUCUGACGUGCAAAUCGAUCGUCAAAUUUGGGCAUAGGGGCGAAAGACUAAUCGAACUAUCUAGUAGCUGGUCUGCG
rnacentral:rRNA from 1 species